GGAACAAGAAAACCACCGUGUGAAGCCCAUAUAGAUGAAAUUACCUCUCAUCUACAGCGUUAUGGGAAAGCGGAAGCCAAAAAUGUAUAUUAUUGGUUUCGCAAUGAAGGUACUCGAGAGAAACGCAGAAAACAACAAUCAGAAGCCACAAAUUCUGAUUGCUCUGCACAAUCAAACCAGUUGGAAAACAGGGUUAAUGUAGAGGGAGAAGAAGAAGAAGCGCAGAGAACUUUGGAACUUUUUCCUCUGCAUCCUGAUAGAGGCGGUUUAUUAUAGAGUAGGAAACAACCCUCAUCCUUUCUAAAUGCAUAGGAAUUAGGUUUAUUAUAGGCCAGGAACUGUUACUCUAGUGAUCAAUGGCUUAUUUUGCUAUGAUGGUCUAAAAAAUGCCAUUGAUCUGCAGUAAGGUAUUAGGUUUUGUUCAACAAAAUUUCGGACUUGUUCGGUUUCAGGAGA